AUGAGGUCGGAAUUGCUAGUAAUCGCGGAUCAGCAUGCCGCGGUGAAUACGUUCCCGGGCCUUGUACACACCGCCCGUCACACCAUGGGAGCCGGUAAUACCCGAAGUCAGUAGUCCAACCUCGUGAGGACGCUGCCGAAGGUAGGAUUGGCGACUGGGGUGAAGUCGUAACAAGGUAGC
rnacentral:rRNA from 1 species